CCUACGGGAGGCAGCAGUGAGGAAUAUUGGUCAAUGGGCGCGAGCCUGAACCAGCCAAGUAGCGUGAAGGAUGACUGCCCUACGGGUUGUAAACUUCUUUUGUCGGGGAACAAAGGCGGAGACGCGUCUCCGGAUGAGUGUACCCGAAGAAAAAGCAUCGGCUAACUCCGUGCCAGCAGCCGCGGUAAUACGGAGGAUGCGAGCGUUAUCCGGAUUUAUUGGGUUUAAAGGGUGCGCAGGCGGGAGAUCAAGUCAGCGGUAAAAUGUCGGGGCUCAACCCCGGCCGGCCGUUGAAACUGGUUUUCUAGAGUUGGAGAGAAGUAUGCGGAAUUCGUGGUGUAGCGGUGAAAUGCAUAGAUAUCACGAAGAACUCCGAUUGCGAAGGCAGCAUACCGGCUCCAUACUGACGCUGAGGCACGAAAGCGUGGGGAUCGAACAGGAUUAGAUACCCUUGUAGUC
rnacentral:rRNA from 1 species